ncrna:unclassified sequences Glutamine riboswitch
AUCGUUCAACUCUUAAUGAGUCGGAAGUAGGCAAAAAUAGCUGAAGGAACGCGGA